rnacentral:lncRNA from 1 species
AUCCUUAUUGCGGUAGCGGGGCUUAGAUUUUUAUUGGUCUAGCGGGCUUACAUUUUUAAGUUUCGGAUAUGUGUUGGGAAUAUCUGGCGACGAAGGUUGCUAGAUGUAACACAGCAAAGGCGUAACCUGGGAUACGCCUUUGCUGUGUUACAAUGGUAUCGAGACGGGACCGCACGACUUCCGUAACAAACUUCGGGUCGGCGGUUCGAUUCUGGCAACCAGCAAGUCGCAAAUUGGCGAUUUCAUGGUGUAAUGGAUAAACCAGCGCACUGGCGCGAGGUGGGAUGGCUCCUGUGCUCGAAAUAAUGGCCGAGGACGUCCAUUGCUAAGUGGGGGGCAAUGUAACGACGCAAAUGCCAAUCUGAGCAUCCCGGGUUACGCCUUUGCUGUGUUACACUAGAGCUUUACGUCCGCGCAAAGAUCUUCUGAUAGCGUCACGCAAAAGGCUGCGUUGGUCGUUCGUUACAGAAGCCCAUGUCAGGCCGCAGUCAGGCACGCAUGGGCGGUAUGUGUGUGAUUGUGAUAUGUGAGUGCGUCCAGGCUCCGUGCACUGCACUUGAUCCGAUGAGGGCAAACAAGACUCCCACCCAGACCAGACAACGCAAGUGUCACCUAGACGGCCAAAAGCAAACCCAAUGGGAAGGCUCAGGACCCGCAACCACUGGGGCAUUUUCCAUUAGACUCCCCAACUGCCGAAAGUCCUCAGACCUCCACCAGAAAGCCCAUCAGCAAAUACUGAUAAGAACUUGCACGUUGUUUGUUACUAGAUGAUGACGCCUGAACCGCAAAAACUCCCCAAUUAAAAGAAACCAAUAAAAAGGAGCAAAAAUAGGUUAUAGCUAAUCGUCCAUCGGUGGCCUCUCCCGUGAUCGUAAGAACUUGUGUGACACAAAUCACAAGAAGGGGUGAUGUGACCCAGAACAGAAUCCCACUUUUUCCAUGGAACGCCCAAAGCUGCGAAUCCCGGAAGGCGGCCCCAAAAGUCAACAACGAACUCGAUGAAUGGCUCCUGGAAGGCAAGGGGCAGGCAACAGUGCCGGGUUGUUAUCGCCGCCCAUGCUCCAUAGCUGACACCGCAGCAAGAGCCACAACAUCCCAAACACAUUGUUUUGCACUUUUUGCAGAGCUUGGACAAGCCAAAGUUGUUCGCGUGACACUGGAAAUCCUAUCGACCGAGUGAAUUGAAUUGAAG